AGAGUUUGAUCCUGGCUCAGAUUGAACGCUGGCGGCAUGCCUUACACAUGCAAGUCGAACGGCAGCGCGGGGCAACCUGGCGGCGAGUGGCGAACGGGUGAGUAAUAUAUCGGAACGUACCCUGGAGUGGGGGAUAACGUAGCGAAAGUUACGCUAAUACCGCAUACGAUCUAAGGAUGAAAGUGGGGGAUCGCAAGACCUCAUGCUCCUGGAGCGGCCGAUAUCUGAUUAGCUAGUUGGCGGGGUAAAGGCCCACCAAGGCAACGAUCAGUAGCUGGUCUGAGAGGACGACCAGCCACACUGGAACUGAGACACGGUCCAGACUCCUACGGGAGGCAGCAGUGGGGAAUUUUGGACAAUGGGCGCAAGCCUGAUCCAGCAAUGCCGCGUGAGUGAAGAAGGCCUUCGGG
rnacentral:rRNA from 1 species